UGAUAGGCAGGGGUGCUCAGUGGCACGCUCCCGCCGAUCAGAUAGUGAUAACCUAUUCUGAGGACUGGCCAUCACUUAACCUCUUUAAAGCUGUGCUGUGAUUGGUUGCUCCGGAGCAACCAAUUAUUAUUAUUUUUUCUUCUAGACAGUUUUCAUAAAUCUCCUCUAUAGUUUUUUCCUAAAUGGCUGAAAACCCUUAUCCACUGUGCCGCUGGCAGACCAGGAAGUCUGAGAAAAAGACCUUAAGGAGGUGGUGAGAUGACAUGUAUAUGGCCACUUAAGGGCAGCAUUCACAAGCAUAUGACAUAAUAAAUGUUAAGAGCCAACAAGGCAUACAAAAGGUUUACCCACCUCAGCUUUCAGUAGUAUGUGGCUGCGAGCAUGCACUUCAUAAUUUCUUGUAGGUUUCAUGCACACAACCAUAUUUAUUUUGCGGUAUGCAAAACACGGAUGACGGCCAUGUUGCAUCUGUUUUUAUUUUUUAUUUUGCUGACCCAUUGACUUCAAUGCAGUCCAUUUUGGGGCCAAGAAUAGGACAUGUUCCAUCUGUUCUGGAAAGGACAUACAGAUGUGGAAAGCCCAAGGAUCAUCCAUGUGCUUUUCACAUCAGUACGUCCAUUCCGCAAAAAGAUAUAAACGUGUCCAAUACUUGACUGCAAAAUGCAGUCUGUGGACCACUUUGAUGUCAAUAGGUCCACCUAAAAAAAAAAAAAAAAAAAAGUAGCACAGAUGUCUUUGCGGGCCGCAAAAUACAUACGAUCGUCUGCACAGGUCCUCAAAGGAACACUUGAUGUUAUAUCUAGUGCAGGGAUUCUCUGGUGUUCUUUGCAUCCUUGUGUUAUGUGACGCCCCCCGAUGCCCUGCACUAGACAUUACACAGUGCAUAUGUUUUGCCCUGAAGGUUCCUUUAAACAAGAUGGUGCAAGAAGCCAUUUGCGUCACUUUAAAGCAGAUCUGUCAGAUUAAUAUUCUGCCAUAUGUGUUUUCAGCAUAUUACAAAAGCAGGUUUGUACUACUAGAAGCUCAUGAGGAAAGCGCUCCCUCUCUGUAGUCACCGACAGGCUAUUGUGUACAGGAGCAUGUGGGUUAAUGGUAUGAGGGGCAGGCGAAGGGCUUCCCCUAUGAAUACACUGGACCCAAACUAUAUGGUAUGUCCAAUGUAUGCUUUCAGAGCUUCAUGUAGCCAAAUGGCAGAGUAUAAACCUAUAGCUGUAAUAUGCUGCCCUAAAAAGCUGGAGAGGUAUUCUAGGAUAUUAAUAUUGAUGUCCUAUACUCAGGACAGGCUAUCAAUAUCUGAUCAGCAGAGGGUCUGACAUCCCAUACGGCCAGCGCUCUGGAUUUACACAGCUUCAUCCACUGUAUCUUGCACUUAGAUGGGUUACUGCAGCAUCUAAAGUAUGUCCAUUACACAAUGGAUGUAGGUGUGUAGUACCGUCACUGACUUCUGGCGCUAGUCGGGAACAGCCGAUUGUGGGGGUAUCAGACCCCCGCUGAUCAACUAUUGACAGCCUAUUUUGUGGAUAGGCUAUCAAUAUUAAAAUCCUAUAAUUCCCCUCAACUGUGAGUAUUAUAAUCAGAAAUAUCCAAUAUUACAUCAUAUUUAGUGUUUGCCCUCUGAACGCCUGGCACCAUAAAUGUAUGAACUCAAAAGUAAAGUCUUAAAAUCUUUUUUUUUUUGCCAUGGGCCAGAUAAACAACAUGGUAACUAAUUAAACCAGUUUUAAUUCUGUUAACAUGAGGACCUCGUAUAAGCCAUGCACAGCGUCAACGGUAUAAGAAUAUAUUAUUGCACCAUAAAAAGCCUACAUUGGGGGUAUCUAGUUGGGCUCCCAACACUGCCCCUAUUGAAAUGUGUCUUGUUAAGCCGUUAUCACAGCAUAAUUAUCCCUUGUGUAAACAUGCAUUCAUUUACAUGACAAAGUACGAACAUUACUAUUCCCUUUACAAAACUAUGUAUUGCUAUAUCUGAUGCUCUCCCAGUUCCCCUUCUGGAUUUCAUUAAGUGUCGUCAGCAGUUAUCUAGAUAAUUUUAAGGCUUAGGAUUGUGGAAGCACUGUCAUCAUCUCUUUACAGGUCUUGGCUACACAGCAGACAUCUUAAACAGAGUACACAGUAAUGAGACAGGGGCGUAGCAGACAGAUUUUACUAUAUGCCUUGGAUAUCGUUUUUUCACCAGUUUUCCCCUUUACAGGCUCUCAGUAUUUCCUGAGCUGAGCUCCAGAGUGGUGGAGAAUAGCUGCUCUGGUGUCUCAUAUGCAGCAUGCACAGAAAAGGGAAGAACUUGCUCAGAAGCAGAAGCCAUAUGGAGGACAUUACAUAUUAGUACUGAGCAGUGUAGCUGUGAAUCCAGCACUGAGGCGAGACUGAAAACCUACUGAAGCUAGCAGUACAAUCUGUCUCACUCUGCAGCUGCUCCCUCUCCAUAGACGUCUACAGAAACAUGUAACCUGAUCCCUCAUUUAUCUAGGUUAAUAUAACAGAACAGAGAAAUGAGUCCUGGAGGAUCGCUCUGAAGCUGGAGAAGGGCAUUCACGGGAAAAUCAAAACCCCUUGGAGCCCAUCAAAAACUCCAGGCCUGUAAUUUGACGGCAGAAGCUUCUGUACUAUGGCCGACUGUUUUAGUGAGAGCAUUUACAAGUAUUUCCAGGAUAUGUUAGCCUCACACUAGAGGCGCACAUGGGAUUAUUAGCAUGAAUAGGACAUGUAACAUGCAUCUCCACAGACCCAUCUGUUAAGGUUCUCAAGUUUUCAGAUGACACAACAGUAGCUGGUCUCAUACAAAAUGGGGAUGAGUCUGCAUAUAGGCAUGAAGUGGCCUUCCUCCUGGUGCAGCAACAACAACAACAACAACAACAACAACAACUUGUAACUUAAUGCUCUUAAGACCAUGGAGAUGAUAAUAGACUUUAGGAGAUCUCCCCCUCCCCCAGCACCUCCCCCUAAUCAUAAAUGGAUCUACAGUAACCCAAGUAGAGUCAUUCAAGUUUCUUGGGACCACAAUUUCCAACAACCUAAAAUGGAACAACAAUACUGUCACUAUCAUCAAGAAAGCGCAACAGAGGAUGUACCACCUACGGCAGCUGAAAAAGUUUGGCCUACCACAAAAAUUUAUGGUGCAGUUCUACACCGCGAUCAUCUAAUCCAUCAUGACCUCAUCUAUGACUGUAUGGUUCGGCUCCUGCUCAGUAUUAAAAAAGGUGAGACUGCAGCGCAUCAUCCGAACAGCGGAAAGGAUAAUUGGCUGUAGCUUACCUUCCCUGCAGGAUCUUCACGCUAGCAGGUGUAGAAAGAGAGCUGGUAAGAUUGCCCCAAACCCCUCUCACCCCGCUCACUCCAUCUUCCAGCCUAAGCCUUCAGGAGUGAGACACCGUUCAGUGGCUACUAAAACUUCCAGGCACAGGAACAGCUUUUUCCCUCAGGCAGUUGCCUUGCUUAAUGCACAACCACUAAAGCUGCUAUGACUUGAAAGCAUUACAGCAUAGAACUGAAAACGAACACUUCUCCCUGUUUGUUGCCACUAAAACUUACAUAUUGUCCUUGUCCUGCACUAUCCCUACUGUCUGUCCUUGUACUGUUUUGUUUGUGUCUGUCAAGCAACUGCCAAGUCAAAUUCCUUGCAAACUUAUUUAGCCAAAUAAAUUGAUUCCGAUUCUAAAAUAUUAGACAAAUACAACUGGAUAUUUAAAGAAUCUGACCAAACAAAGACAAUGUGGAUCGGAGACGAGGAAUGAAAACCUAUGAAACACCAGCUUACCGCUCGAAGACGAUGAGCUUGACGUUGCUUUUUCAAACUCAAGAUCUUACUAUCCAAUUAAGGUAAUAGGUUUUCCUGCUUUUAGGUUUAUCAACCAAUUUAGGAUCUUCUAAAUGAAUUGCUUAGAUGUUGAAGCACUUACAGAUAGACUAUUAGUUGGGUUCAAAGGUGACAAAACCAAUACCAUAUAAGAGAGACUAUGAAAUUCUACACUCAUUUCCAAUGAAUAUCUCUAGUUAACGCCAUAAGGGUAUGUUCACAUGCUGCAGAAAUAUUUGAUUGGGAUCUAAACAACCUCGUUCAGAGGGAUGGAACAGAUUUCUGCAACAAAUUUACCAGGUGUUUCAAGGCAACACAAUAAAAAA